rnacentral:rRNA from 1 species
UACGAAGGGGGCUAGCGUUGUUCGGAAUUACUGGGCGUAAAGCGUGCGCAGGCGGCUGCUCAAGUCAGGGGUGAAAGCCCAGAGCUCAACUCUGGAAUUGCCUUUGAGACUGAGUGGCUUGAGUACGGGAGAGGUGAGUGGAAUUCCCAGUGUAGAGGUGAAAUUCGUAGAUAUUCGGAGGAACACCAGUGGCGAAGGCGGCUCACUGGCUCGGUACUGACGCUGAGGUGCGAAAGCGUGGGGAGCAAACAGG